rnacentral:rRNA from 1 species
UGGCUAACUCCUACGGGAGGCAGCAGUGGGGAAUUUUGGACAAUGGAGGGAACUCUGAUGCAGCGACGCCGCGUGAACGACGAAGGCUUUCGAGUCGUAAAGUUCUUUUCUAUGGGAAGAUAAUGACGGUACCAUAAGAAAAAGCCCCGGCUAACUACGUGCCAGCAGCCGCGGUAAUACGUAGGGGGCUAGCGUUGUCCGGAAUCACUGGGCGUAAAGGGUUCGCAGGCGGAAAUGCAAGUCAGAUGUAAAAGGCAGUAGCUUAACUACUGUAAGCAUUUGAAACUGCAUAUCUUGAGAAGAGUAGAGGUAAGUGGAAUUUUUAGUGUAGCGGUGAAAUGCGUAGAUAUUAAAAAGAAUACCGGUGGCGAAGGCGACUUACUGGGCUCAUUCUGACGCUGAGGAACGAAAGCGUGGGGAGCAAACAGGAUUAGAAACCCCAGUAGUCCAGCUGG